rnacentral:rRNA from 1 species
ACUCCUACGGGAGGCAGCAGUGGGGAAUUUUGGACAAUGGGCGCAAGCCUGAUCCAGCCAUUCCGCGUGCAGGACGAAGGCCUUCGGGUUGUAAACUGCUUUUGUACGGAACGAAAAGGCUCUGGUUAAUACCUGGGGCUCAUGACGGUACCGUAAGAAUAAGCACCGGCUAACUACGUGCCAGCAGCCGCGGUAAUAC